rnacentral:misc_RNA from 1 species
AAUCUUCUGCAGGCAACUGGCUUUGGCAUGCUAUAUUCCGACAUCUUUUGUAUACAAAAACCUCAAUCAGGCAAGUCUGAGAAAGAUUCAUACUAUGAUGCAGGAAAAACUGAAUUCCACUAUUAAUAGCAACAAGAAUUUCCAGCUGAACUCGAUGAGCUUUAAUCAAUGUAUUAGCAGUCAAAUCAGACCUAGUCUGAACAAGCCUCUGUAAAAACAAAAGUUCAUCUCUUUGCUGAGGACCACCGUUCCCUUCAAGCAUCCCUCGAAGCCUACCUUUUAGCUCUUCUAAAUACUCAUUGGGGAGCAAAUACAUUUUUUCAGAUAUUAUAUCCACUUGUUCUCUAGCAAUAUCAAGAAGAGAAACCUUAUUUGCA